rnacentral:lncRNA from 1 species
CUGAGUUUUUUUUUUUCCCCUCUCUUAUUUCUUUACAGUUGUGUAUCCUCUGUUGUCAUCGUGGAAACUGAGACUGCAUUCACAGCACAUUUGUUUCAAGGCAUGCAGUUGAGACACUUGGAUACUGAUGUUCAGAACCCUUUCCUCCUUGCUUACCUAAAUUUGGUUGAAGAGCCCUUGAGAUAAGUAUAGGAACACUGCAGCCACAGGGAGAAGUGUUCACUUGCUUGUUGAUUCACUGCUGGUUGUGUUCCCUGGCUGCAAUCAAAGCACAGUUUCUCCUUCAGAAUUUUAGAAUCGAGGAGAAGAGUGAAAAUGACUAUGUGGGAAGGAGAUGGGAGAUUAAUACCCAGAAAACUUCAUUCUUGCCUCACACUAGUUUUGCUUCAUUGUACAUUAUGAGGUGAGUUUGGCUAGCUGUACAGUGAGAUGAGC